AACGUAGGAGACAAACGUUAUCCGGAAUUAUUGGGCGUAAAGAGCGUGUAGGCGGUCCGGUAAGUCAGCUGUGAAAGUCAAGGGCUCAACCCUUGAAUGCCGGUUGAUACUGUCGGGCUAGAGUCCGGAAGAGGCGAGUGGAAUUCCCGGUGUAGCGGUGAAAUGCGCAGAUAUCGGGAAGAACACCUAUGGCGAAGGCAGCUCUCUGGGACGGUACUGACGCUGAGACGCGAAAGCGUGGGGAGCGAACAGG
rnacentral:rRNA from 1 species